AUUGAACGCUGGCGGCAGGCCUAACACAUGCAAGUCGAGCGGAUGAAGGGAGCUUGCUCCUGGAUUCAGCGGCGGACGGGUGAGUAAUGCCUAGGAAUCUGCCUGGUAGUGGGGGAUAACGUCCGGAAACGGGCGCUAAUACCGCAUACGUCCUGAGGGAGAAAGUGGGGGAUCUUCGGACCUCACGCUAUCAGAUGAGCCUAGGUCGGAUUAGCUAGUUGGUGGGGUAAAGGCCUACCAAGGCGACGAUCCGUAACUGGUCUGAGAGGAUGAUCAGUCACACUAGAACUGAGACACGGUCCAGACUCCUACGAGAGGCAGCAGUGGGGAAUAUUGGACAAUUGGCGAAAGCCUGAUCCAGCCAUGCCGCGUGUGUGAAGAAGGUCUUCGGAUUGUAAAGCACUUUAAGUUGGGAGGAAGGGCAGUAAGUUAAUACCUUGCUGUUUUGACGUUACCAACAGAAUAAGCACCGGCUAACUUCGUG
rnacentral:rRNA from 1 species